rnacentral:rRNA from 1 species
GACGAACGCUGGCGGCGUGCUUAACACAUGCAAGUCGAACGGUAAGGCCCUUCGGGGUACACGAGUGGCGAACGGGUGGGUAACACGUGGGUGAUCUGCCCUGCACUUCCGGAUAAGCCUGGGAAACUGGGUCUAAUACCGGAUCGGACUCCGGCCUGGCUGUUCCGGGGUGGAAAGCUUUUGCGGUGUGGGAUGGGCCCGCGGCCUGUCAGCGUGUUGGUGGGGUGAUGGCCUACCAAGGCGACGACGGGUGGCCGGCCUGAGAGGGUGACCGGCCACACUGGGACGGAGAUACGGCCCAGACUCCUACGGGAGGCAGCAGUGGGGAAUAUUGCACAAUGGGCGCAAGCCUGAUGCAGCGACGCCGCGUGAGGGAUGACGGCCUUCGGGUUGUAAACCUCUUUCAGCAUCGACGAAGCGAAAGUGACGGUAGGUGCAGAAGAAGGACCGGCCAACUACGUGCCAGCCGCCGCGGUAA